rnacentral:ncRNA from 1 species
AUACAGUCUAUGAGAGGAAAGAGUACAUUUCCGGGCAGACUCCUAGCGAAUCGGGUAUGGUGUAAGCCGAUAGUCCAGCAGAAAUGGAAAAUCAUCCUUGAGGCAUGGCGCUGAACGGUUUUACUGAUGGAACCAGUAAGUGGUCACGGGGGCUUCCCGUUAUAGGAGCCGCGUAUGAUGGUACGUAGCAGAGUGCCCUGUUUUGGCAGGGAAUUUGGGUGGUAACACGGAUAAACGAGUCCGUCCCUUUC